AGUGACUGUGCCAGUGCACCUGCUUGAGCUAGUUAUUAUUAUUAUCUCCAUUCUAGACAAGGUCUCACUAUGUAAUUCAGGCUGGCGUUGAACUCAUUACGUAGUCCAGGCUGGGCUCAAACUUGUGGUGAUCCUCCUGCUUCAGCUUCCUGAGUACUGGGAUUACAGAUGUGCACCAUCACACCCGGCUAUCAUAAUUUUCUAUGGUAGCCCAUGCUGUAUUUCCCAGACACAACGUGUAUAUUUAUCUUUGCUCUUGCCCUCUUAUUCUCUUUACUUGGCCCAAGCUCGCUCUGCAGAGCCAAUUUCUCUCCCGCUCUUCACUUUUACUCUUUUGGAUAAACUUUGCCACUGCUUUUUUUUUUUUUUUGUACCAGGGAUCGAACUCAGGACCUUCUGCUUUUGAGGUGGGCGGUGGCACCACUGAGCUAAAUCCCUGGCCCUGCCACUGCUUUUUGCUUGUUUCAUUGAAUUCUUUAUUCAAGAUGAGAAGAACCUGGAAUCCAACUCCAGAAGGACAGCCAGAUGAUUAAGAACUGAAACCUCUACAAACUGUAAGCCAAAUAGACCUUUCCCCCUUUAACUUUAGGUGUUGGGUAUUUUGUCUCAGCAAGGAGAGAAAAGUAACUAAGACAGAAUUUGGUACCAGAGAAGUGGGGUGGUUGCUGUGACAUUACCCGGCCAUGUGGCUCAAGGGCCUUUGGAACUGGCUUGUUGGAAGGGGAAGAGUUAGAACAGGUGUGGAGAUGCCAGCU
rnacentral:lncRNA from 1 species